GUGGUCACUUCAGCAGCACAUAUACUAAAAUUGGAACAAUAAAGAGAAGAUUAGCAUGGUCCCUGCAUAAGGAUGACACGCAAAUUCAUGAAGUGUUCAAUAUUUUU
rnacentral:snRNA from 1 species